UUUUAUUGGAGUUGUAUGAAGGGUCGGAUGAAAAAUAAGCUGUCUUAUUUAUAAAAAUUGAAUUUGAUUUUGAGUGAAAAGGCUUAAAUAUUAAAAAGGGACGAUAAGACCCUAUAAAACUUUAUAUAAAGUAAAUUUUUUAUUAUAAUUAUUCGUUUACUAAUAAAUAAUUUAUUAAUAUUUUAUUGGGGCGAUAGGAAUAUACAUAGAUAACUGUUCUUUUAAUUUAAAAACAAAGAUUAUUGUUUUGAAUGAUCCUUACUAAAGAUUAAAAGGUAAAGUUACUUUAGGGAUCCCACCCUAAUUUUUUUUGAGAGUUCUUAUCGACAAAAAAGAUUGCGACCUCGAUGUUGAAUUAAAAUUUCUCUAUGGCGCAGGAGCUAUAGAACAGAGUCUGUUCGACUUUUAAAUUUUUACAUGAUUUGAGUUCACACCGGCCCCAGCCAC
rnacentral:rRNA from 1 species